rnacentral:rRNA from 1 species
UGGGCAACCUGCCCCUCUCUCUGGGAUAACCCCCGGGGAAACCGGAGCUAAUACCGGAUACUCCGGCUGGAUCGCAUGGUCCGGCCGGGAAAGGUCCGCCGGUCGGGGAUGGGCCCGCGGCCUAUCAGCUUGUUGGUGGGGUAACGGCCUACCAAGGCAUCGACGGGUAGCUGGUCUGAGAGGACGACCAGCCACACUGGGACUGAGACACGGCCCAGACUCCUACGGGAGGCA